GGUCGAUUAGCUCAGUCGGUAGAGCAUCGUGCUGAUAACGCGAAGGUCGUGGGUUCGAACCCCAUAUCGACCA